rnacentral:rRNA from 1 species
UAGGGAAUCUUCGGCAAUGGGCGAAAGCCUGACCGAGCAACGCCGCGUGAAUGAUGAAGGCCUUCGGGUUGUAAAAUUCUGUUAUAAGGGAAGAACGACUUUAGUAGGAAAUGGCUAAAGUGUGACGGUACCUUAUGAGAAAGCCACGGCUAACUACGUGCCAGCAGCCGCGGUAAUACGUAGGUGGCAAGCGUUAUCCGGAAUUAUUGGGCGUAAAGAGCGCGCAGGUGGUUGUUUAAGUCUGAUGUGAAAGCCCACGGCUUAACCGUGGAGGGUCAUUGGAAACUGGUCGACUUGAGGGCAGAAGAGGGAAGUGGAAUUCCAUGUGUAGCGGUGAAAUGCGUAGAGAUAUGGAGGAACACCAGUGGCGAAGGCGGCUUCCUGGUCUGUAACUGACACUGAGGCGCGAAAGCGUGGGGAGCAAAC